AGAGGGCCACAGGGAGUAGGGUGAAGGAGGUGGGCGUGCCAAAGAGGGGUGGGAACAACAGGAAAGAUUCCCACCCUAAGAUUCUCAUGACUGGGUACGAAUGGGUGAGGGGGGAUGUAGGUAAGUAUGAGAGUAGGGUUAGGAAUGCGAUGGAGGCGAGUGUGUUAUAGCAUAGAUUGAAAUUUUGUCUUCCUCCGUAUUUAGAGCACCUUUCCAUUGAACCCUGUUCGUCUGAUGAACGUAUAUUUUUCCAAGUGUCGACAUCGCCUCCCUACAUAUACAUGUACCAAUGCCUGUUUAGAGAUUUGGGUGUGUUAAUCCCCUUUACCCCGUUCGAAUGUGAAUUUCUAAGAAAGAUUAAUGUGGCGCCUAGUCAAUUACACCCUAAUAGCUGGGGUUUUGUACGCGCGUUUCAAAUAUUAUUUUCAGUAAUGGGGAUGAAGCCAAGUUUGGGGGUUUUCAUGCAUUUUUAUCAGAUAAAAUUGGGGGAACCACCGUUUGGAUGGGUGUCACUGAGUGGGAGUUCGAACGGUGGUUUAUUCCAAAUUUUCUCGCAAUCGUAUAAGAAUUUUAAAGAAAAGUUUUUCAAAGUUCAAUCUGCACAUAAUGAUGCAACCUCGGAUCCGAUUUUUCACUGGGAUGGUGAAGCGAGGUUUCCUCUAAGUUGGCAGGCACAACCCAUGAGAUUUUCUGGGUUAGAGGGUUUAGUAUUAUCAGUUGCAGAGAAGAAAGAUAUAGAGAAAUUGGAAGUGCUAGCUCGGCCGUAGAGAGUAAAGCUAUUCUAUUGCUUGCAGGAUCAGAAAAUCCGCAAGACGAUUUAGAGAGUAUUAUGGGAAAGAGUAAGUGGCGAGAAUUGAAGGAAAAAUAUGGGGAUAAAGAUGUGGAAAUUGCCAAGGUGGGAGAAGAAAAAUUGGAAGCAAAGAAGAAAAAACAACGAGUUGGGGAUAAGGAUGUGGACUCAAGUCGUCCGGGGCCCCUUCAAGCCGAGAUUAAGGAAGAGAAGGGUGCCGACACAAAUCGGCCCGCUGGCGAUGCGAUUCAUCAAACUGCUAGUUCAAGUCAUCCAAUUGUUGUUGCUGAUGUGAACAUCCCCUGUGUCUCCACAUCGGGUGUCGGUCGUGAAGAGGGAAGCAAGCUAGUCGUUGUGAUUCUUGAUGAAGAAACAAUAAGCAUGUUUUAUUACUUUUUGGGAACAAAGUUACUAUAAUAGAAUAAAACAUGUUGAUUUUCGUUUGUUUUGUAGAC